UACGGGGGGGGCAAGCGUUGUUCGGAAUUACUGGGCGUAAAGGGCUCGUAGGUGGCCAACUAAGUCAGACGUGAAAUCCCUCGGCUUAACCGGGGAACUGCGUCUGAUACUGGAUGGCUUGAGUUCGGGAGAGGGAUGCGGAAUUCCGGGUGUAGUGGUGAAAUGCGUAGAGAUCCGGAAGAACACCGGUGGCGAAGGCGGCCCGCUGGGCUGUGGCUGACGCUGAGGCGCGACAGCGUGGGGAGCAAACAGG
rnacentral:rRNA from 1 species